ACUGGCAUUGCCCUAGUACGGCGAGUGAGCGGCAACAGCUCAAAUUUGAAAGCUAGCCUUCGGGUUCGCAUUGUAAUUUGUAGAGGAUGCUUUGGGUAAAACGCCAGUCUAAGUUCCUUGGAACAGGACGUCAUAGAGGGUGAGAAUCCCGUAUGUGACUGGAAAUGUUAACCUAUGUAAAGCUCCUUCGACGAGUCGAGUUGUUUGGGAAUGCAGCUCUAAAUGGGAGGUAAAUUUCUUCUAAAGCUAAAUAUUGGCGAGAGACCGAUAGCGCACAAGUAGAGUGAUCGAAAGAUGAAAAGCACUUUGGAAAGAGAGUUAAAAAGCACGUGAAAUUGUUGAAAGGGAAGCGCUUGCAAUCAGACUUGUUUAAACUGUUCGGCCGGUCUUCUGACCGGUUUACUCAGUUUGGACAGGCCAGCAUCAGUUUCGGCGGCCGGAUAAAGGCUCUGGGAAUGUGGCCUCCACUUCGGUGGAGGUGUUAUAGCCCAGUGUGUAAUACGGCCAGCCGGGACUGAGGUCCGCGCUUCGGCUAGGAUGCUGGCGUAAUGGUUGUAAGCGACCCGUCUUGAAACACGGGACCCCAAAC
rnacentral:rRNA from 1 species